rnacentral:misc_RNA from 1 species
CGUAGGUGAACCUGCGGAAGGAUCAUUAUCAAAUCCUAGCCAUUGUUGCCUUACCGCAGCUCUGGUGAAGCACCGUGCACUGGCGACCGGGGAUGGGAGAGAGCCCCGCUCGGUUGAUCCGAGGUGUGCGACCGGCAUUGGGUGUCGCACUUGAAUCGAUGGGACCAGAAUGUCCGCCCACCGGGCCUCAAACCGAGUUCUCCUCAUCUUUGGUUUUUUGUUUUUUCAUAUUUCAAACUUUGUCAUGUAUGUGGUGGUAUUGUUUGUUAGUUGCAAAAUAAAUGACAACUUCUGACGGUGGAUCUCUUGGCUCGUGCAUCGAUGAAGAACGCAGCAAGCUGCGAUACCUAGUGUGAAUUGCAGAAUUCAGUGAAUCAUCGAGUCUUUGAACGCAAAUGGCGCUCCCGGGGUCCCCUCGGGAGCAGGUCUGUUCGAGCGUCCGCCAACCAACUCAACCGUUGCCCGUGCCGGCAACAAGAUUGAGGGGCUGCGAUAGCAACACACCCGUGAUUGCACCGCACCCCUUGAAGAAAACAAAUACUGUGCAGUUGGCGUUAGGCUGCAGUGGUGUUCCCACGAGGCAGUUGUCACAACAGUGUAACAGGUUGUGUCAUUGCUUCUGGCUGGACACCCCACUCGGCCACACCGGCCUGCCGGUGUCAGGAACCU